rnacentral:rRNA from 1 species
UACGUAGGGUGCAAGCGUUGUCCGGAAUUAUUGGGCGUAAAGAGCUCGUAGGCGGUUCGUCACGUCGGCUGUGAAAUCCCGAGGCUCAACCUCGGGUCUGCAGUCGAUACGGGCGGACUUGAGUACUGCAGGGGAGACUGGAAUUCCUGGUGUAGCGGUGAAAUGCGCAGAUAUCAGGAGGAACACCGGUGGCGAAGGCGGGUCUCUGGGCAGUAACUGACGCUGAGGGGCGAAAGCGUGGGGAGCGAACAGG